rnacentral:rRNA from 1 species
UACGUAGGGGGCAAGCGUUGUCCGGAUUCAUUGGGCGUAAAGAGCGUGUAGGCGGCCAGGUAGGUCGGUUGUGAAAACUGGAGGCUCAACCUUCAGAGGUCGACCGAAACCAUCUGGCUAGAGUCCGGGAGAGGAGAGUGGAAUUCCCGGUGUAGUGGUGGAAUGCGUAGAUAUCGGGAGGAACACCAGUGGCGAAGGCGGUUACCUGGAGCUUUGCUGACGCUGAUGCGCGAAAGCGUGGGGAGCGAUCCGG